GGGGAUAACGUUUGGAAACGGACGCUAAUACCGCAUAACAUGUAUCUAUGGCAUCAUAGAUAGAUCAAAGGAGAAAUCCGCUGAUAGAUGGGCUCGCGUCCGAUUAGCCAGUUGGCGGGGUAACGGCCCACCAAAGCAACGAUCGGUAGCCGGACUGAGAGGUUGAACGGCCACAUUGGGACUGAGACACGGCCCAGACUCCUACGGGAGGCAGCAGUGGGGGAUAUUGGUCAAUGGGGGAAACCCUGAACCAGCGACGCCGCGUGAGGGAAGAAGGUUUUCGGAUUGUAAACCUCUGUCCUCGGUGAAGAUAAUGACGGUAGCCGAGGAGGAAGCUCCGGCUAACUACGUGCCAGCAGCCGCGGUAAUACGUAGGGAGCAAGCGUUGUCCGGAAUUACUGGGUGUAAAGGGAGCGUAGGCGGGGAUGCAAGUUGAAUGUUUAAACUAUCGGCUCAACCGGUAGUCGCGUUCAAAACUGCAUUUCUUGAGUGAAGUAGAGGUAGGCGGAAUUCCUAGUGUAGCGGUGAAAUGCGUAGAUAUUAGGAGGAACACCAGUGGCGAAGGCGGCCUACUGGGCUUUAACUGACGCUGAGGCUCGAAAGCGUGGGUAGCAAACAGGAUUAGAUACCCU
rnacentral:rRNA from 1 species